GCGAGCCGUAUGAUGGGAAACUAUCACGUACGGUUCUGAGGGCAAGGUAUAUUCUAAAUGCCUUGACCCCUAC
rfam:Pilayella littoralis complete mitochondrial genome